UGUAUUUCUUGAUUUAAAUUCUUUGCUACAUCUUAUCUUGAUUUAAAAUUGUACUAAAAAUCCUUUAUAUAUUUUCAGCUUCGAUCUACUAUCACUGAGGGAAUUUUAAUUAUGGGUUUUGUCAAAAAAAAGAAGGGUGUUGGUGGCUAGUUCCCAAGGCGUCCGUAACAACGUGACCGUUCUGUUAUACCUACUAAAAUUUAAUAUUAAAUGAAAUGAAAGAUAAGUUCAAAAUCCUGAGUUUGGGGACCAGUUUCUCAAAUACACUGCUUUCAAUUUCCGUACUUGAUUUUCAAAUUUGUCAAUUUGUUAGAAAAUUGCUUCUGUCGCUUAAACAAUGUCUUCAAAUAACCCAGGCAAUCUUUUCAUAUCAUUUAGGAUUUUUUUUUAAACCAAGAAAACACAAAUUAAAGUCUUAAGUAAUUUAAAUUUUAAAAGCAAAACGGAAGCAGUGCAAUUUUUCAUAGAGAUAAGAAUAUUUUUAAAUUACCGACGUUUGUAAGAAAAGAUCAUGAAUAUCGGAUCUGUUUCCGCCAACAUUUUUGAGCUUCAGUUACUCCACUAAAUAAUUUUAUUAUUAAAUUAGUAAUUUCCUUAACUUUACACAAACGAAACAACAAAAUUGGAAUGUGUAAUUCUCUUCGUUUAUCUACAAGACAUGAAAAAUAACAGAACUAAAGAAAGGAGGAAUUUAUUUCCUUUUUUUUCAAUUUAGUAGGUAUUUAGUUAUUUAAAUAUUUUGUUUCUGCAAUAUGGAUUCAAGACAAACCAGACAUUUGAAUGUUCUCCGUUUCCGCUGUUCUUGAUUUAUAGAUAAUCUAACUAGCACGAUUUUUUUAAAAAUAUGUUUUAAAGAUAUCGAUUUGUUUCCAAGUUGAAAUACUGAAAAGCUAAACAAAAUUAAUAUAGGUAGAUACUCCUUAAAUUUGUUACCAUAUUUAUAGAUACUAGCCGACCCCGCCCUCGAAAUUCGAACGCCAAUUUCUUUAUUUUUUUUUAUUUGCAACAACUUUAAACACAAUUAUACCAAAAUAGUUUCAUUAUUUUGUAUAGUAUUUGUUGUUGCGAUUAACUACACUUUUUGAAGACAAAAUACACAGGUAUAUAUAAUAUACCUACUUUUUGAUAUUUUUUAAACCUGAUUUAGAUAUUGUUGAACUACGUUUUAACUGCACUCAACUACGUAAAAAAAGUAUCGAAAAAGAAAAUGCAAAGUGUAAUCGCCUUAAUGCAUUGUGUUUGCACCUUGCAUUUUGCGAUUCAAUUCAACCUGUUUCAUGUUCCAUUCAUUCAAAUUCCAUCAUUCAACUUCCACCAACUUCACUCAAAUUUGUCAUUCACCAUUGUAUAUUGUAGGUUCUCGUCUUAGCUUAGCUUGUAGAAGUUUAAAUUUCCGGAAGGGAGAGGGCGUUAUUUAUCGCACUUCCAGUUUGGAAUGAUAUUUGUGGUUCACAUUUAUUAAAGGUGCGUUCACAACAACGUCACACAACAACGUUU